UCAAGAUCUAAACCUAUUACUUAAAUAUCUAAAGCAACUGCUAAAAACUUAAAGAACAUGGCGGUGUCUUAUAAGCUCAGGGGAACCUGUCCCUUAAUUUGAUAAUCCACACACCACCCAACCAAUCUUUGCUAAACCUGUAUACUGCUGUCGCCAGCAGGCUUAAAUAUAAGCUUGCAACUCAUCAAUACGUCAAGUCAAAGUGCAGUAAAUAUUUUGGAGAGAGAUGGGUUACAACCUAAAAAAAGACACUCAACUAUAUAAAAUAUAAAAGGUGGACUUGAUAGUAAUAUAAUAAAUUAUAAACAUUUAUCUAAGACAUGUACACAUCGCCCGUCACUCCCAUAAAAAUG
rnacentral:rRNA from 1 species